GGUGGUGUAUGGUACACAGCUGCCAGGUUCGAUUCCUGGACAAGUAUAAAGCUGCUUGUAACCAAGGUGGAAAGUAAGAGGUUGUCGGUUCGAAUCCGACCGCCACCA
rnacentral:tRNA from 1 species